rnacentral:rRNA from 1 species
UACGUAGGGUGCGAGCGUUGUCCGGAAUUACUGGGCGUAAAGAGCUCGUAGGUGGUUUGUCGCGUUGUUCGUGAAAUCUCACGGCUUAACUGUGAGCGUGCGGGCGAUACGGGCAGACUAGAGUACUGCAGGGGAGACUGGAAUUCCUGGUGUAGCGGUGGAAUGCGCAGAUAUCUGGAGGAAUACCGGUGGCGAAGGCGGCAUCCUGGACCGACAUUGACGCUGAUGAGCGAAAGCUAGGGGAGCAAACGGG